ACGUAAGUGCAAAUCGAAGAGAGGGAGAGAUUACAAUGGAGGAUCUGUGGAAGAGAGCGAAAAACUUCGCGGAGGAAGCAGCGAAGAAAUCUCAGACCCUAACCUUACCUUCUUCUUCGACGACCUUCGCCAAUCUCGUCGCCGAGACCGCGAAGAAAUCCAAGGAACUCGCUCUCGAGGCCUCGAAGAAAGCCGAUCAGCUCAAGGUCUCCGAUCUUGUCGCCGAGACGGCGAAGAAAUCGAAGGAGUUCGCUGCCGAAGCUUCUAAGAAGGCGGAUCAACUCAAAGCUGCCGCGUUGAAACAAGCUGAUCAGAUCCAUAACAUCAAGUCGAUCGCCGACAUUAUCCCUCCUAAGCUUGCUUCCUUUGGAUCCGGAUCCGGAUCCGGGUCCGGGUCCGGGUCCGCCUUCUCGGAUUCUGAGCUUCUAAGGUUCGGCAUUACGGAUGAUCUUCGCGAGUUCGUCAAAGGAUUGACCUCUGCGACGUUUCAGGCUUUCCCCGUCCAAGAUGAACCUGAAACCAAACCAGAAGUUUCUGAUGCGCCGACAACACCGUCGAAUGUCCGGAAGGAUCUGUCGGAGUGGCAGGAGAGACAUGCCACCCUCGUUCUGGCAUCCGUUAAGCAAAUCUCGAAGUUGAGAUACGAAUUGUGUCCGCGAGUCAUGAAAGAAAAGAGGUUCUGGAGGAUAUACUUUACACUAGUGAGCACUCAUAUUUCACCAUAUGAGAAGAAGUACAUGGAGGAACUUAAGAUCAAAGCGGAGUCUAAAGAUGAAGCAGCGAAGAAAACCCUAAUGGUAGGAGAGACAGAAGCUGUGGAAAAGAAUGUGAAGAGAACAUCUACUUCAUCAUCAUCAGCCGAGCAGGAUCUGGAUUCAUUCCUCUUGGGAGAUCUUGAAGAUAGCGAUGGAGGUCCUGAUGAUUACGGUGAUGAAAGCCUGGAUGAUGAUUUUGGCAAGAUCGGGAACUCCGACGAUGAAGACGGGAAGCAUUCUACGAAAACAACAAACGCAAGCGCGGCAAACUAGGAUUAUAUAACACCAUAUUGCGAAUUUUCCGGUGAUAUGAUCGUAAUAUAGAUGAAACGAGCAGGACUCUGACUCUUGAAUCCGCCAAACGUGUCCGAGGGUCUGAUCAGGGACAAAAGUGGUCUAUUGGACUUCCCAAGGCUCAAAUCAAUACCGAUUGCAAUAUAAUAAGCCCAAGCCUGGUUUGGAUCCUGAGCCUGUAGAUUUUAUUGGCCCACUACUCUCCGUCGACUCUUGAAUCCGCCAAAUGAAUCCGGGGGUCUGAUCAGCGACAAGGUCUAUUGGGAUUGAUAAGGCCCAGUAUUGAUUACAAUGCAAUAAACCGAAGCCUGAUUUGGAUCCUAGGCCUGUAGGUUCUGCGCUAAGGGCCCCUCUCUCUCUCAUUAUGCUGUAUAUUAAUUAAUUUCUUUAAUUUUAAAAAUUAUUAUAUUAUCACGAUUGUUU